UUUGCGACUAUUUUUUUGCGACUGCUUGUUUGGCCGUCGUAAAAAAAAAAAAAAAAAGGCUCCAAUAUAUAUUUUUAUUUCUCUUAUUUUCUCUUACUUAUUUGCUCCAUUUCCUUGGUUCUGCCCUAGCUUGGCUCGCUCAACCUCUCUCUCUCUCUCUCUCUCUCUCUUUUGCUCACCGAUAUGAAUCUCUCUAUCCCUCUUGAUCUCAAUCUCUCUCCCUCUCUAUCUCGAUCUCUCAAUCUCUCUCCCUCUCUCGAUCUCUCAAUCUCUCAAUCUCUCUCUCACACACUAUCUCGCUCUCUUUGUAUUUGCGUACACAUUAUCUACUCUCUCUCUGCAAUUUGCGCGAUUCGUUGCAGAGAAACCCUAACUCUACCAUGGAAAAGUUCUCUCGGAGCACUCAAAUGCAGCAGAAUCAGCACCUCUGCUACGUCGAUAUCCUUCGUCCUCCUCAGGCGAAUGAGAUGGUUGGGUUGUGUCCGAGUCUGAUACUGCUAAUGAAGCUGAACGCAGUCAACCAAAAAAAGGGUGGAGAUUAAUUCCAAAUUUGAUGCUGCUAUUGGUUGGCUCUUGUGGUUAGAGAUAUUACAUGUAUUGGCAUGAGUUCAAUAAUUUUCAGUUUCAGUUAAUUUCACAUCAGGUGUGCUGCAGUUAACCUUCUUUUUAGGACUUCAUUUCCUCUAGUUAUUACAUGAAUUUACAUUAUUCUGCAGUUUGGAGUCGUCAACUGGUGAUAAUUUCUGCUUGUUGAGUGCCAUUGAAGUUACUUAAAUUGCUCUUAUGCAAAUCUCCUUGUGUGGCAACUACAGUGUUGUAGUGAACCUAUUAAUGUUGAACAGAAUUGUGGUUUUCUUUUCUUCUUCUUAUUUAUUUGCAAAUGUCUUGCUGUGUUGUCAAAACAUGCCUUUGA